rnacentral:rRNA from 1 species
UACGUAGGGUGCGAGCGUUGUCCGGAAUUAUUGGGCGUAAAGAGCUUGUAGGUGGCUCGUUGCGUCGGGAGUGAAAACCUGCGGCUUAACCGCAGGCCUGCUUCCGAUACGGGCGAGCUAGAGUUCGGCAGGGGAGACUGGAAUUCCUGGUGUAGCGGUGAAAUGCGCAGAUAUCAGGAGGAACACCGGUGGCGAAGGCGGGUCUCUGGGCCGAUACUGACGCUGAGGAGCGAAAGCGUGGGGAGCGAACAGG